GGGGAAUAUUGCACAAUGGGCGAAAGCCUGAUGCAGCGACGCCGCGUGGGGGAUGACGGUCUUCGGAUUGUAAACCCCUUUCAGUAGGGACGAAGCGCAAGUGACGGUACCUGCAGAAGAAGCACCGGCUAACUACGUGCCAGCAGCCGCGGUAAUACGUAGGGUGCGAGCGUUGUCCGGAAUUACUGGGCGUAAAGAGCUCGUAGGCGGUUUGUCACGUCGUCUGUGAAAUCCCUCGGCUUAACCGGGGGCGUGCAGGCGAUACGGGCAGACUUGAGUACUACAGGGGAGACUGGAAUUCCUGGUGUAGCGGUGAAAUGCGCAGAUAUCAGGAGGAACACCGGUGGCGAAGGCGGGUCUCUGGGUAGUAACUGACGCUGAGGAGCGAAAGCAUGGGUAGCGAAC
rnacentral:rRNA from 1 species